GGAAGUAAUCGCCCGCGCCUAUCUGUACACAAACUAUCCCUGACUUUUGCCUUCAAGGACAAACUCGGACUCCUUCGCUAGCACUCGACGACUCCACUCACAACCAUUGAACAUCAUGCAUAAACAACCUGCAUCAUCUGGAGACAACAUCAUUCUAAGGUAACGUAAACACAACAAUUCUUUUUCUCAGGUGAUUAUACACUAAUAAAAACAUACAUAUGAAUAUUAUAUUCCAUUUCUGAUCUUCCUAAAUGUUACACACUGGACCUUAAAAAGGAAAUAAAUGUGGGAGCAUCCACAAGGGUAGGCAACAAGGGCAAAGUGUCAGGUAAAGUCAAGAUAUUUUUGAGUUUUCCUUUGGGCAAAGCAAGAAGACAUAGAGAAAAGAGGCAUCAAAGUCCCUUUCAAUCUCAUCAGUCUUCUACCUCAUUCAGGGUUUGCGUCUUGCCAUGGUCAUGCUGUUUUAGGGUCGUAGAAGGAUUUGAAGUCAAAACGAAUGUCAGCCCUCUGGGGCUGGAACUCCCCUGAAAGAAAGUUUCCUUUUCAUUUUCUUUUGAAAUCCUACUUUCAUCUCAUCUGCUCAAACUUCAAAACUAAAGUGCUAUUUUAGAGGUUAAAAUAAAUGUUAUAAAAUAUAAAAAUAACCAUAAAGCCUACUACUACAGUUACUAUUAUUACUACAGUCACUGUUCAUUGUCCCCCAUCGUUGUUGUUGUUGUUGUCGUCAUCAUCAGUCACUACCAUUAGUGUAGUUGUUGCUACUGUUGUUGCUGUAAAUGGUAAAUGGACCUGUACUUGUAUAGCGCCUUUCUAGUCUUCCGACCACUCAAAGCACUUUUUACACUACGUGCCACUUUCACCCUUUCACACACCUCCUUGGAAUGGCGCCGGCGACAACGGCAGCCUGUCAUGGCAACUCCUAUCAUUGUUGUAGUUUUAGUGUGUUUUCAGUGUGUCUUUAGCCUGUGUUUUUUUUCUAUUUUUAACUGUUUUCUUACUUUCUUAAUACUUUGUUCACGUCGCCUAAAUACUUUUUUGGCGUUUUUGAGCACUUUUAAUGUUUUGUUUGCACAUGAUCGCCCUGAGGCACCCUAGCAUCCUGACCAGAGAGAGACCCUCCAUACCGGAGGAGCUGAGGAGGAGACUGCGAGGCUGCAGAGCGGGGGUUAAACGGAGGAUGAAGAAGAGGAGGUUUAAACCCUACAUCCCUGCAGUCAUCACUGGAAACAAACGUGGCUACAGGAGCAGAUACCGAACUCCAACGUCACCAUUCCCGGCUUCCAGAUGGUUCGAGCCAAAAGGGACACCACCACAACCGGCAAGAAGAAAGGAGGGGGACUGGCCGUGCUCAUAAACAACAGGUGGUGUAACCCUUGGUACGUCUGUGUGAAAGCCCGGACAUCGAGCUUGUCGCUGUCGGACUUCGUCCAUGUUAUCUGCCACAGGAAUUUUCCAGUGUUAUCGCCAUCACUGUCUAUGUUCCUCCGUCUGGGAAAGCAGAAGCAGCGUGUGACGUCAUCCACACUGUGACUGCAGGACUACAAACGAAACACCCAGAGGCCUUCAUCAUCAUCACAGGGGACUUCAACCACGUUUCUCUCUCGUCCACACUCCCACCUUCCACCAGUUUGUCACAUACACUACCAGACACAAUAAGACCUUGGACCUGCUGUAUGCAUAUGUUCCUGUUUUUUAUAUCUGUAGCCUAUUUAUUUCCUACUCAAAUGUUGCUGUGACAAGUGAAUUGUGGGAUUAAUACUUUAAUAAAAAAAGUUAUCUAUCUA